AUGUUACUCUUCUUUGUUUUCAUCAUUAAAAACAUUGGUGCUGUUGACAGCAGCAUCACACCAGACCAAACCAUUAUAUCUUCAGCUGAGGGCAGCAAAACCACACUGACCUGCACAUAUGAUGACUCGGCUUACUAUCUCUACUGGUAUCGACAAAAGCCUCAGUCAGGACCAGAGUUUCUGCUGCUGACUGAUAAAUCCACAGAAACUAUCAUUAGAGCUAAACAACCUGACCCACGUCUGUUCAUCAGACUUCGUAAAAAUGAAAAGAAAGUAGAUGUGGAGAUCUUUCCUGCUGCAGUAUCAGACUCUGCACUGUACUACUGCGCCAUGGAGCCCACAGGGACACAAAACUCAAACACACUCUUUGUAAUCCUGCUGCAGUAUCAGACUCUGCACUGUCGUCCUGCACCCUGGAGCUCACAGUGA